rnacentral:rRNA from 1 species
AUUGAACGCUGGCGGCAGGCCUAACACAUGCAAGUCGAACGAGUGGCGGACGGGUGAGUAAUGUCUGGGAAACUGCCUGAUGGAGGGGGAUAACUACUGGAAACGGUAGCUAAUACCGCAUACCAUCAGAUGUGCCCAGAUGGGAUUAGCUUGUUGGUGGGGUAACGGCUCACCAAGGCGACGAUCCCUAGCUGGUCUGAGAGGAUGACCGGCACCACUGGAACUGAGACACGGUCCAGAUUCCUCGGGGAGGAAGCAGGGGGGAAUAUUGCACAAGGGGCGCAAGCCUGAUGCGUCCAUGCCGCGUGUAUGAAGAAGGCCUGCGGGUUGUAAAGUACUUUCAGCGGGGAGGCGUUACCCGCAGAAGAAUCACCGGCUAACCCCGUGCCAGCAGCCGCGGUAAUAC